rnacentral:rRNA from 1 species
CGAAUGGGGCAACCCACUAUAUUGAAGGUAUAGUAUCCCGCAAGGGAAGUGAACCCGGUGAACUGAAACAUCUAAGUAGCCGGAGGAAGAGAAAACAAAAGUGAUUCCGGGAGUAGUGGCGAGCGAAACCGGAUUAGCCCAAACCAGUGUUGUUUCGGCAAUACUGGGGUUGUAGGACCACGACAUUGAUUGCGUAAUGAAUUAGAACACUUUGGAAAGAGUGACCGAAGAGGGUGAUAGUCCCGUACAAGUAAAGAGCGUUAAUUAUAGUGGUAUCCUGAGUAGUGCGGGGCACGUGAAACCCUGUAUGAAUCAAGCGGGACCAUCCGAUUAAGGCUAAAUACUCCUGAGAGACCGAA